GACGUAGGGCGCGAGCGUUGUCCGGAUUUAUUGGGCGUAAAGAGCUCGUAGGCGGCUUGUUGCGUCGACCGUGAAAACCCGGGGCUUAACUUCGGGCUUGCGAUCGAUACGGGCAGGCUAGAGUUCGGUAGGGGAGACUGGAAUUCCUGGUGUAGCGGUGAAAUGCGCAGAUAUCAGGAGGAACACCGGUGGCGAAGGCGGGUCUCUGGGCCGAUACUGACGCUGAGGAGCGAAAGCGUGGGGAGCGAACAGG
rnacentral:rRNA from 1 species